UGGCUGCAGCAGGACAGGCAUCCGUGCUGCCCAGCUGAAGCCAGCCACGCACCGCGCAGCAUAGAGCACUGGGUCAGGCCAAGCUCUGCAGCUGCGCUGCCCCAGGAGUUCGCAGCCACGCCGCCCAGAGCAUUGCGCCAGUGGUGCAGUGAGCUGAGGGG